UGGAGAAGCAAAAGGAGGCGAAAUUCAGAGAAAAACGGAAAGAUCUGGUUUUUUUUAUUACAAAGUAAGCGAGGAAAGGACCCUGACAAAACCACCAGUGAUAGAAAUUAAUAUCAGUAGAGCACUCUCACACUUUUAGACUUCGGUCUUCAGUUCUAGCGGAGUAGACUAGAAGGUAUUAUUGCUACUUUACAGAUGAGGAGGUUGAGAUUUGGCUACUAAAAAGCUGCAGAGGCAGAGUUUGCUGCACAUUCAUUGGAGAAACACUGGAAUUGGAGAAACGCCGUAAGUGAAGAGUAGGGGAAGGAAGAAAGUUGAGAUGGUGAAUUAGGGUAUUACCGCCUGCCGGUGUAACCUCGUAAGCCUUGAAAAGCUGACAAGAAUUGAGAAUAUUCGCAGUUUGUAACUAACCGUGUUAUACCUACCACUGACUGAAACAAAAUUUGCUGUUUGUUUUCUUACAGUCUCCCCAGUUAUUUUAAGGUCUUAACCUCCUUUGUAGCAGGCGUAGAGGACUUUUAGUGUGUCCGUCUGCCAACCACUUGCCUUUUGGGGAGAGACAGAAUUAAGAAGUACAGAUCUUCUUCCACUUAGAGUAGAGUUAUGCGCAGAUAAAGCCAUGUUAACUCGAAAAUAUUUUAAUAUUCUUAAUAACCUAAGAAUGUUAUGGCUUAGCCCAGCCUACCUUAAACUUGCUCAGAACACCUACAUUAGCCUACAGUUGUGCAAAGUCAUCCAACACAAAGACUACUUUAUAAUAAGGUGUUAAAUAUUACGUGUAAUUUACUGAAUAUUGUCCUGAAUGUGAAAAGCAGAAUAGAUGUGUGGGUACAGAACGGUUGUAUCAGUUGUUUGGUGGUGGUGUAGUCACUAAGUCCUGUCCAAGUCUUGUGACCCCAUGGAUAGUAGCCAGCCAAACUCCUCUGUCUGUGGGAUUUCCCAGGCAGGAAUACUGGGGUGGGUUGCCAUUUCCUUUUCCAGGGGAUUUUCCUGACCCAGGAAUCAAACCCAGGUUUUCCUGCAUUGCAGUGGACUCCUGGAUGGCUAAUGGAGCUGUGGUUGCUACCAGUGUCCAACAUGACCAUAGAGUAUCGGGCUGCAUAUCCAUUGCCUGGGAAAAGAUCAAAACUCAAAACUCUGAAGUAUGGUUUCUACAUAUUGCUUUCAAACAGUGGAAAAAUUGAAAGUGGAACCAUUGUAGUCCAGGACUGUCUGUAGUUAAAAGCAGGAAUUAAUUCCACACUGAGCCCAGAUUCUGACUCUGCCUUUUAAUUGUUCUGUGACCUUCGCCAAUGUAGCCUAUAUAUUUCACUUUUACUCAUCUGCAAAAUAGCAAUGAUAAACUUAUUGAUUAUGAGAAAAACAGGUUAGCACAUGUCAAAUGCUUAGAAUAGGGCCUGGCUUGGUGUUGGGCACUAGUAUUCACAUAUUAUUGUUGUUUUAUUUGCUUCAGUAAUAGGCAAUGUAACUCCUAUUCCACUUUUGUCUCCUCUCAGGUGUGUUUUCCUGACAGUGAUACAUUAUAGUCUCAAUUUAUACCUGUUGUAAUAGGUGUACUCAAUAAUUACUUCUAUUACUGUGAGAGCUUCUUAUGUCCUAAGAAUGAUUCAAGAGCUGGCAUAAGCAGGGUGGACAAACUCCUGACCCUUAAAAAAUUGUAUAUUCUCUUUGGAGGAGAUUAACAAUUAAAACAUACACAAAUAAAACAGUUUCACAUACUAAAUGUUAUCUGAGGAGUCUAUUUAAUAGGGCUAGCUGCUGGAAGAGGUCACUAUGUAGAGGUGACAUCUGAGUUAAGUAAAUCAUUCAUGAUGAGAAGGAUCAGCCAGAAUAUCAUCUGCAGGAGAGGAAAAGUCUUUCAAGAAGAAGGACCCAUGUGAACCAAGACUGAGCCUCGGCCAUCUCAGGUUCUGGAGCGGAGCUGCUGCCCUGCGCUGCUGUGUGGAGGACGCUGGAGGUCCAGGCCGGUAGCCAGGCGGGCGUCACCGGAGACAGGCGGCUUCUGCCAUGUAAUGCCACUGGUGUCCAAAAGUUUAAACCGCCCCUGACUCUUCUAGACAGGAGACUAGAGAACUCAGGGUUCCAAGAUGGUGGUUUCGGUUCCCAGCAAGAAGACGGAGGAAGCCCGAGGGGAAAACAGGGCAUGCCAGUGUGAGGCUACCUCUUUUUAAAGAGCUUUCUCCGCAGUCCAACAACUUUUGCUCACAUCUCAUUGGCCAGAUGGUGUCCUUGGCCCCUGCUAUCUCUAAAGAUGCCUGAGAAAUGUAGUUUUUGUAGGUGGACAUGUAACCACCUUCAACAAAAAUCUGAGUUUUCUUCAUAAGGAAGAAGGUAACGGUGUAUCUUGGGUGAACAACUUGUAGUCUGUGCCCUGAAUACAAAAUACAGUGGUAAAGAGGCAUAAUGUUUGAGAUGGUUCAAAACGGCAGCUCCUUCACAACUGGCAGCACACCAAGCAGACUGCUGUGUCCGAGAGUGACCAGAGUGAAGACAGGCCAGGUUUUCUCAUGAAACACUCACAGCACUGACUGCUGUCUCAGCCGGUGUACCUGUCCCCACCAGGCGUCUCCAGACGAGGACCCUGGGAACCAACUCUUGGACUUUCUCAGAGGACGUGCUUGCUUCUUGGAGGCUUGAAAUGAGAUGAGGAAUGUUGUACCUUGCUGCUUUUACAUCUGCGUUGUUUAUCUUUUCUCUAAUCUUCCUAAAAAUUUUUUGGUGUAGUCUAGUUGUGUAUUUGAUCCCCAUGAAAGGAUCACUCUUUUCAUGUACAGGGGAGGGUAAUCUAUGUAAAGAAAGGCUACUUUACUCCCUGCUGUGUCUCCACCACCUCAUCUAGGAAUAUCAUAGAAGAAUUGCUUCUCGGAGCUGCCUCCAUAAACAGCCUACAUCCUGACUGAGCAAAGAGAGAAGAAACACUUCCCACAUCCAGGGCUGUGCAAAAGAACUUUCUGUGAUGACAGAAAUGUUCUGUAUCUGCAGUGUCUAAUACAGUAGCCACCAGCCACCUGUGGCUAGUGAACGACUGAAAUGUCACUACUGUGAUUGAGGAAGUAAAUUUUAAUGUUAUUUAAUUUUAAAUACCUUAAAUGUAAAUAGCCACAUGUGGCUAGUGACUAGUGUUGUAGACAAACCUUUCUCUUUCUUGUGUUUUAGAACUUGCUGGGUGUGUGUGUGGGUGGGGGGGUGGUUGAAUAAGUUGUAUGCUUGGCAUUCCAUGGUCUUCACUAUUCCACCUUGCCAUCAAACUUGUCUCCCAGACACAGAGGAAAACUGGUAUUUUGGAACUAAAUUCAGAUGUUACUUGACAUUUACGCAUUGAACAUAUGUAUUUGUAUGUGUUCCUGUGUGAAUAGAAUGGUCUUCUGGGAAUAGGUCCUGUGAUUGAUUUUUGUGAUAACUGAUGAUGGGAAAGUGGUGGUGCUGGUCACUUUACUUUCCUAGUGAACAUUAUGUGUUCCUUGUCAUAGUCAGUAGAGAUUCUGUUGCGCAGUUCAUUCUGUUACUUUAUUUUUGUAAUACUGUGGCUGCUAAAUGAUUAUUCCAUGUCGUUUUCCAAAAUACUUUCUGGUUUAUAUUUUUUA